rnacentral:tRNA from 1 species
AGAAAUUUAGGCUAAAACCUUAAACCAAGAGCCUUCAAAGCUCUAAACAUGGACAAGACUCCAUAAUUUCUG